rnacentral:rRNA from 1 species
GACGAACGCUGGCGGCGUGCUUAACACAUGCAAGUCGAACGGGCCCGCCCCUGUUUUUGGGGGUGGGUUGAGUGGCGAACGGGUGAGUAUCACGUGAGUAACCUGCCCCCUGCUCCUGGAUAACUGCUUGAAAGGGCGGCUAAUACGGGGUGUGCCGGCUGGUCCGCAUGGGCCUGGUCGGGAUAGUUUCAUCUUCGGGUGUUUCGGUGGGGGAUGGGCUCGCGGCCUAUCAGCUUGUUGGUGGGGUGAUGGCCCACCAAGGCGGUGACGGGUAGCCGGCCUGAGAGGGUGGGCGGCCAAACUGGGACGGAGACACGGCCCAGACGCCGGCGGGAGGCAGCAGUGGGGGGUAUUGCACAAUGGGCGGAAGCCUGAUGCAGCGACGGCGCGUGAGGGAUGGAGGCCGUCGGGUUGUGAACCUCUUUCUCCGGUGGUGAAGGCCCUGUCCGUUGCGGCGGGGUUGACGGUAGCCGGGUAUGAAGCGCCGGCUAACUACGUG